UUUUGCUAGGUGACCUUGCAAGGCUGAACACAUCUGCUCUCGGAAGCUAAGCAAUCCCGGGUCUGGCUAGUACCUGGAUGGGAGACCACCUUAGAUCCUAAGUCCAAGUCAAGG
rnacentral:rRNA from 1 species